GACGUAGGUGGCGAACGUUAUCCGGAAUCAUUGGGCGUAAAGGGUGCGUAGAUGGCAUGAUAAGUUAUUAGUGGGAAAUCGAGGCUCAACCUCGUGGAAGUUAGUAAUACUGUUUUGCUUGAGUACAGAAGAGGUUAACGGAACUCCAUGUGGAGCGGUAAAAUGCGUAGAUAUAUGGAAGAACACCAAUAACGGCGAAGGCAGUUAACUAUUCUGUUACUGACAUUGAGGCACGAAAGCGUGGGGAGCAAAACGG
rnacentral:rRNA from 1 species